CCUACGGGCGGCAGCAGUGGGGAAUAUUGGACAAUGGGCGAAAGCCUGAUCCAGCCAUGCCGCGUGUGUGAAGAAGGCCUUCGGGUUGUAAAGCACUUUCAGUGGGGAAGAAAGCCUUGGGGCUAAUACCCUCGAGGAAGGACAUCACCCACAGAAGAAGCACCGGCUAACUCCGUGCCAGCAGCCGCGGUAAUACGGAGGGUGCGAGCGUUAAUCGGAAUUACUGGGCGUAAAGCGCGCGUAGGCGGUCUGAUAAGCCGGUUGUGAAAGCCCCGGGCUCAACCUGGGAACGGCAUCCGGAACUGUCAGGCUAGAGUGCAGGAGAGGAAGGUAGAAUUCCCGGUGUAGCGGUGAAAUGCGUAGAGAUCGGGAGGAAUACCAGUGGCGAAGACGGCCUUCUGGACUGACACUUACGCUGAGGUGCGAAAGCGUGGGUAGCAAACAGGAUUAGAUACCCCAGUAGUC
rnacentral:rRNA from 1 species